UACGAAGGGGGCUAGCGUUGCUCGGAAUUACUGGGCGUAAAGCGCACGUAGGCGGCUUCUUAAGUCGGGGGUGAAAUCCUGGAGCUCAACUCCAGAACUGCCUUCGAUACUGGAAAGCUCGAGUCCGGGAGAGGUGAGUGGAACUGCGAGUGUAGAGGUGAAAUUCGUAGAUAUUCGCAAGAACACCAGUGGCGAAGGCGGCUCACUGGCCCGAUACUGACGCUGAGGCACGAAAGCGUGGGGAGCAAACAGG
rnacentral:rRNA from 1 species